GGCGAAACUGCGAAUGGCUCAUUAUAUAAGUUAUCGUUUAUUUGAUAGCACUGUUCUACUUGGAUAACCGUGGUAAUUCUAGAGCUAAUACAUGCUGAAAAUCCCGACUUCGGAAGGGAUGUAUUUAUUAGAUUAAAAACCAAUGCCCUCUGGGCUUAGUGGUGAUUCAUGAUAACUGCGCGAAUCGCACGGCCUUGCGCCGGCGAUGGUUCAUUCAAAUUUCUUCCCUAUCAACUUUCGAUGCGAAGGUCUUGUCUUCGCAUGGUUACAACGGGUAACGGAGGGUUAGGGCUCGACCCCGGAGAAGGAGCCUGAGAAACGGCUACUACAUCCAAGGAAGGCAGCAGGCGCGCAAAUUACCCAAUCCCGACACGGGGAGGUAGUGACAAUAAAUACUGAUACAGGGCUCUUUUGGGUCUUGUAAUUGGAAUGAGUACAAUUUAAAUCCCUUAACGAGGAACAAUUGGAGGGCAAGUCUGGUGCCAGCAGCCGCGGUAAUUCCAGCUCCAAUAGCGUAUAUUAAAGUUGUUGUGGUUAAAAAGCUCGUAGUUGAACCUUGGGCCUGGCUGGCCGGUCCCCCUCACCGGGUGCACUGAUCCAGCCGGGUCUUUCCCUCUACGGAACCCCAUGGCCUUCACUGGCCGUGGCGGGGAAGUAGGACUUUUACUUUGAAAAAAUUAGAGUGCUCCAGGCAGGCCUAUGCUCGAAUACAUUAGCAUGGAAUAAUGGAAUAGGACGUGUGGUUCUAUUUUGUUGGUUUCUAGGACCGCCGUAAUGAUUAAUAGGGACAGUCGGGGGCAUCAGUAUUCAAUUGUCAGAGGUGAAAUUCUUGGAUCUAUUGAAGACUAACUACUGCGAAAGCAUUUGCCAAGGAUGUUUUCAUUGAUAAGGAACGAAAGUUAGGGGAUCGAAGACGAUCAGAUACCGUCGUAGUCUUAACUAUAAACUAUGCCGACUAGGGAUCGGACGAUGUUAUUACUUGACUCGUUCGGCACCUUUCGAGAAAUCAAAGUGCUUGGGCUCCAGGGGGAGUAUGGUCGCAAGGCUGAAACUUAAAGAAAUUGACGGAAGGGCACCACCAGGGGUAAACUCGCACAGCGGUUUCGAACGCUAAGCCAGCAAAAUCUGCUCCUAAAAGCCGCCCGAAAGGGUGAGGUGGUUGUCCGGGCUCGCUGCCAGACUUAAAGGCUAGUCCUCCCCCACGGGGGGGGGGGGG
rnacentral:rRNA from 1 species